CUACGCUGCGAUAAGCCGUGGGGAGCUGCGAAGAAGCUUUGAUCCGCGGAUUUCCGAAUGGGGAAACCCACCUUCGAUAGCCGGAACUCCAAGACCUUUGUCGAAAGACAGAAGGUGUGGGGUUCGACCAGAUACCUGGAAGAAGCCAGGCCUUUUUGAUUUCGAUCGAGGAGGUUUUGGAUUUCCGGUUAUCAAGAGAAGGUAUGAGACUUCUGAAUACAUAGGAGGUUUCAAGCAAACCCAGGGAACUGAAACAUCUAAGUACCUGGAGGAAAGGACAUCAACAGAGACUCCGUUAGUAGUGGCGAGCGAACGCGGACCAGGCCAGUGAUACAUCAAAGACAAUCGGAACCGGUCAGGAAAGCCGGGCCUCAGAGGGUGAUAGCCCCGUACGAGUAAUGCGAUGAUGUAUCCACGAGUAAGGCGGGACACGUGCAAUCCUGUCUGAACAUGGGGGGACCACCCUCCAAGCCUAAGUACUCCUCAGCGACCGAUAGU
rnacentral:rRNA from 2 species